CGGACUAAAAAAGAGUACUGAAAACUGAUGCUGUGUCAACUUUUUCUUUCUUUUUGUGCAAGCCAUCUUGUAAGAAGGAGGAAUACAAAUUUUAUGCCUCGAGCUGCUGAAGCAUAGCAAAGGACAAAGUGUGCUAACUCAAUGAAGGCUUGCAUCCAUGAAUAUUUUUGAGAACCAGUCAAUUCAAGUAAAUGUUUUUCUUUUGGACAUUAAAGUAUCACACUAGAGUUUCCUGCUGCAUUUUCAGAUGGAUGAACAUUUAUAAAUGGAGAAAUGUUCCAAUUCUUACACCUUCAUUGGAUACAUACCUGGUAUAAAAUUUUCCCAUUAGUUAGAACUAUCUAACAACUCUUGUAAAUGAUUAUUACACCAUCAAUUCUUAAUGACA